GAUCCUGGCUCAGGAUGAACGCUGGCGGCGUGCUUAACACAUGCAAGUCGAACGAAGCACUUUAUUUGAUUUCCUUCGGGACUGAUUAUUUUGUGACUGAGUGGCGGACGGGUGAGUAACGCGUGGGUAACCUGCCUUGUACAGGGGGAUAACAGUUGGAAACGGCUGCUAAUACCGCAUAAGCGCACAGUAUCGCAUGAUGCAGUGUGAAAAACUCCGGUGGUAUAAGAUGGACCCCGCGUUGG
rnacentral:rRNA from 1 species